ACCAGACUCCUACGGGAGGCAGCAGUGGGGGAUAUUGCACAAUGGGGGGAACCCUGAUGCAGCGACGCCGCGUGGGUGAAGAAGCGCCUCGGCGCGUAAAGCCCUGUCAGCAGGGAAGAAAAUGACGGUACCUGAAGAAGAAGCCCCGGCUAACUACGUGCCAGCAGCCGCGGUAAUACGUAGGGGGCAAGCGUUAUCCGGAUUUACUGGGUGUAAAGGGGGCGCAGACGGCGAUGCAAGCCAGGAGUGAAAGCCCGGGGCCCAACCCCGGGACUGCUCUUGGAACUGCGUGGCUGGAGUGCAGGAGGGGCAGGCGGAAUUCCUGGUGUAGCGGUGAAAUGCGUAGAUAUCAGGAGGAACACCGGUGGCGAAGGCGGCCUGCUGGACUGCAACUGACGUUGAGGCCCGAAAGCGUGUGGAGCAAACAGGAUUAGAUACCCCAGUA
rnacentral:rRNA from 1 species